rnacentral:sRNA from 1 species
AUGAAAGGUUGGAGCCAAGUAUGGUCAAUUAAUCCUCUGUUAUUUAAUUCUCAGUCAUUUAAUCCCUAAUUAAAUAAAAUUUAAUCAUUGUGUAAUGUAAUGCUAAAGCUUUGACUCAAGUAUGCAUUUAAUCUACUACACCUGCCUCUUUAGUGUGAUAUUACCGGACUGGGGUGGAUCAGAUCACUGAAGGUUAGCUGUACUUCAAAGAAUUUAACAGUAUUUAUAUCAAGAACUUGACUUGUCCAUGUAGUGACUACGUUACAGAACCUACUUCAUCUCCAUUGCAAAUUGUGACUAGUUCAACAAUGUGUGUACUUGCAUGGCUGCAGGUUGGCAUUACUCUACCAUCUUUAACAGAAGUUUAAAAGGUCAACUGUCUUCUUUUGUACUGGAUACUUGAGGUAACACCUAGCGUAAAGCGCAAGACAGAAUGGCAUGCCUGGAAGUAAUACAAUUUUAUC